rnacentral:misc_RNA from 1 species
ACCUGCCGAGAACGAGAUCCAAUAUGUCAGCCCCCAUAAUACUUGUCAGGUGAAACUUUAAAUGACGAAAGAGUAAGAAAUUUAUAUUGGUGUUCAUUUGUAAACCCGUUAGAAUGGAACAAGUAUGUGACAAUCCACAGUCUGCGAAGGAAGAAACACAAGAACCAGAAAUGUCAGCAACUAUGUCCAAGAAACAACUUAGAAGGCAACAGCGGCAGGAAAAAUGGUUGUCAAUCAAAGCAGAUGUGAGAGCUAAAGAAAAACAGAGGAAAAAACAGAAAAGGAGAGAGGCCUUAGAGAGAGGAGAUACCAUGGCACCCACUCGAAAAAAAUUGCGAAGUAAUACAAUGGCAAAAUCCUCCUGUAAAACUUCUGUAGUAAUAGAUUGCUCAUUGGACAGUUACAUGGGUGAAAAGGAUAUUAUGAAACUGGUGAAGCAGAUUCAGUUUUGUUACUCCAGCAAUAGGCGGUCACAGAAUCCCAUGCAAUUUUUUGUCACAGGAGUACAGGGUCAAACAGAAUCUAGACUACAGUGUAUUGGAGAUUAUCAGAACUGGGAUGUGAAUUUUACAAACAAGGAUUACUGUGACAUAUUUGAAAAGAAGGACAUUGUCUAUCUGAGUAGUGAAUCUGAUAAUGUACUUCAAGAGUUGGAGCCAGAAAAGGCCUACAUUAUCGGUGGACUGGUGGAUCAUAAUCAUCACAAAGGCCUUUGUCAUGCACUAGCUGUAGAGAAAGGUGUGAGUCAUGCACAGCUUCCCAUCUCAGAGUACUUGGAUAUGAAAACCAGAAAAGUCCUCACAAUUAACCAUGGUAUUUGAGUUGUUGAAUUUAAAUGGUCUUUUUAUGUUUGAAAUAUCUUAUUAGUUAUGUUUGAUAUGUUGUUACAGUACCUGUAAGAACAAAUUGAAAAAAAUUUGGUCACAUACCAAUAUCGAUCCAUUAUAUGCAUUUAUAUCUAAAUAAUUUGCAAAUUUAUUUAACAGUGUUCGAUAUACUUCUGAAAUACACAGAAACUAAGGACUGGUUACAGUCAUUUUGUGCUGUUCUCCCUCAAAGGAAAGGUGCUCAGGCUAAAGGCGCUGGUGAGACUAGUUCACAGACAGAAACAAAGACAUCUGAUGGGUGUGUCAGUGGGGGUGUGAGCGGUGACGAAUCAGAUACAUGGCCCGAGGAUUCAUCAACAUCUAAUAUCGUCCAGUGUCAUGACUUAGUAAAUGAUAAUAGUACAGCAUCUGUAGAUGAUGGAGAGACAAGAAAACAGUUAUCGAAUGUUUCUGUAAAGGACCAAGUGGAAAGCACAGAUCUCAGUUCUGAUGUUGGCAAGUCGUGACACAGGAUUGUCAAACGAUAGAAUUUUUUUUGUAGAUUUCCAUUUAAUAAAAUUUAGAGUAAGAGCCAAGGGAUAUGAAUUAAUAGCAAGCAAAAUAAAUGGAUGUAAAAUAAC